rnacentral:lncRNA from 1 species
AUUCUUUCAACUCUUGAGUAUUCUGAUUGUUAGUUGUACUCAGUAAAGGGUUAGAUACUUGUCUCCCUCUAAGCACUAGCGAUUAAACUUGCCAAAUCAUUUCACAAAUCAAACUUCUUUUACAUGAAAAAGAGUGGUUAGGAUGCCACUAUCCUCUCACCUCCCAAGUAUUCAGAUUAUUGACCGUACAUAGCCAAGGGUCGGAUACUUG